CUGAACCAGCCAAGUAGCGUGAAGGAUGACUGCCCUAUGGGUUGUAAACUUCUUUUAUAAAGGAAUAAAGUCGGGUAUGCAUACCCGUUUGCAUGUACUUUAUGAAUAAGGAUCGGCUAACUCCGUGCCAGCAGCCGCGGUAAUACGGAGGAUCCGAGCGUUAUCCGGAUUUAUUGGGUUUAAAGGGAGCGUAGGCGGAUUGUUAAGUCAGUUGUGAAAGUUUGCGG
rnacentral:rRNA from 1 species